rnacentral:rRNA from 1 species
GACGAACGCUGGCGGCGUGCUUAACACAUGCAAGUCGAACGAUGAAGAAGAGAAACGCGAACUUCGGUUCAAAUUUCACUUCGGAUUAGUGGCAGACGGGUGAGUAACGCGUGAGCAACCUACCUCUUACAAAGGGAUAGCCUCGGGAAACCGUGAUUAAUACCAUAUGACACAUUCAUAAGGCAUCUUAAGAAUGUUAAAGCUACGGCGGUAAGAGAUGGGCUCGCGUCCCAUUAGCUAGUUGGUGAGGUAACGGCCCACCAAGGCGACGAUGGGUAACCGGCCUGAGAGGGUGAACGGUCACAGUGGAACUGAGACACGGUCCAAACUCCUACGGGAGGCAGCAGUGGGGAAUAUUGCACAAUGGAGGGAACUCUGAUGCAGCGACGCCGCGUGAGCGAUGAAGGAAUUCGUGUCGUAAAGCUCUGUUCUAUGGGAAGAAAAGGACUGUACCAUAGGAGAAAGCCCCGGCUAAAUACGUG